rnacentral:piRNA from 1 species
UAUGAGGGAAGACAAUGUGGAGAGGCAAGG